UACGGAGGGUGCAAGCGUUAUCCGGAUUCACUGGGUUUAAAGGGUGCGUAGGUGGGUCUGUAAGUCCGUGGUGAAAUCUCCAAGCUUAACUUGGAAACUGCCAUGGAUACUAUAGGUCUUGAAUACCGUGGAGGUGAGCGGAAUAUGUCAUGUAGCGGUGAAAUGCUUAGAUAUGACAUAGAACACCAAUUGCGAAGACAGCUCACUACACGAAUAUUGACACUGAGGCACGAAAGCGUGGGGAUCAAACAGG
rnacentral:rRNA from 1 species